UGAACGCUGGCGGCGUGCCUAAUACAUGCAAGUCGAGCGAACAGAUAAGGAGCUUGCUCCUUUGACGUUAGCGGCGGACGGGUGAGUAACACGUGGAUAACCUACCUAUAAGACUGGGAUAACUUCGGGAAACCGGAGCUAAUACCGAUAAGAUUUUGAACCGCAUGGUUCAAUAGUGAAAGACGGCCUUGCUGUCACUUAUAGAUGGAUCCGCGCCGUAUUAGCUAGUUGGUAAGGUAACGGCUUACCAAGGCAACGAUACGUAGCCGACCUGAGAGGGUGAUCGGCCACACUGGAACUGA
rnacentral:rRNA from 1 species